GACGUAGGGGGCGAGCGUUGUCCGGAAUUACUGGGCGUCAAGCGCGUGUAGGCGGGCUGGUAGGCGGCGUGUGAAAGGUGGGGGCUCAACCCUCAUAGGUCGCGCCGAACCGCCAGUCUUGGGACGGCGAGGGGCAACUGGAAUGGUCGGAGGAGCGGUGAAAUGCGUAGAGAUCGGAAAGAACACCAACGGCGAAAGCACUCUGCUGGGCCGACACUGACACUGAGAGACGAAAGCUAGGGGAGCGAAUGGG
rnacentral:rRNA from 1 species